rnacentral:rRNA from 1 species
UACGUAGGGGGCAAGCGUUGUCCGGAAUUAUUGGGCGUAAAGGGUGCGUAGGCGGCGCGGUAAGUCGGGUGUGAAAUCUCGGAGCUUAACUCCGAAACUGCAUUCGAUACUGCCGUGCUUGAGGACUGGAGAGGAGACUGGAAUUUACGGUGUAGCGGUGAAAUGCGUAGAUAUCGUAAGGAAGACCAGUGGCGAAGGCGGGUCUCUGGACAGUUCCUGACGCUGAGGCACGAAGGCCAGGGGAGCAAACGGG